GAUGAACGCUGGCGGCGUGCCUAAUACAUGCCAGUCGAGCGAACGGACGAGAAGCUUGCUUCUCUGAUGUUAGCGGCGGACGGGUGAGUAACACGUGGAUAACCUACCUAUAAGACUGGGAUAACUUCGGGAAACCGGAGCUAAUACCGGAUAAUAUUUUGAACCGCAUGGUUCAAAAGUGAAAGACGGUCUUGCUGUCACUUAUAGAUGGAUCCGCGCUGCAUUAGCUAGUUGGUAAGGUAACGGCUUACCAAGGCAACGAUGCAUAGCCGACCUGAGAGGGUGAUCGGCCACACUGGAACUGAGACACGGUCCAGACUCCUACGGGAGGCAGCAGUAGGGAAUCUUCCGCAAUGGGCGAAAGCCUGACGGAGCAACGCCGCGUGAGUGAUGAAGGUCUUCGGAUCGUAAAACUCUGUUAUUAGGGAAGAACAUAUGUGUAAGUAACUGUGCACAUCUUGACGGUACCUAAUCAGAAAGCCACGGCUAACUACAUG
rnacentral:rRNA from 1 species